ACGAACGCUGGCGGCGUGCUUAACACAUGCAAGUCGAACGGAAAGGCCCCUUUGGGGGUACUCGAGUGGCGAACGGGUGAGUAACACGUGAGUAACCUGCCCUUGACUUCGGGAUAACUUCAGGAAACUGGGGCUAAUACCGGAUAGGAAUCCUUGCUGCAUGGUGGGGGUUGGAAAGCUUCGGCGGUUUUGGAUGGACUCGCGGCUUAUCAGCUUGUUGGUGGGGUAGUGGCUUACCAAGGCUUUGACGGGUAGCCGGCCUGAGAGGGCGACCGGCCACAUUGGGGCUGGGGAACGGCCCAGACUCCUACCGGGGGGAACAGGGGGGAAUAUUGCACAAUGGGCGGAAGCCUGAUGCAGCAACGCCGCGUGCGGGAUGACGGCCUUCGGGUUGUAAACCGCUUUCAGCAGGGGCGAAGCUUGUGGUGACGGUACCUGCAGAAGAAGCACCGGCUAACUACGUG
rnacentral:rRNA from 1 species